UUUUCGUAGGUGAACCUGCGGAAGGAUCAUUACAAAAUUGCCACUCCUCCUGCAUCCAUCUACACCCCUUGACUACAUACAUGUUUGCUUUGGCGGACCGCUGCCCUGCUGCCGCCUGCCCCUUCUGGCGGGCGCCCCCCCGAGGCGUUUAGAAUCUUGCUUGCGAUAAGUCUGUCCUAAACAACAAUGCGAAAAACUUUCAACAACGGAUCUCUUAUUUCUAGCAUCGAUAAAGAACCCAGCAGCUCCGAAGAGGACACAUAUGGACUCCAGUC
rnacentral:misc_RNA from 1 species